GGUAGCAUGGCCGAGCGGUCUAAGGCGCUGGUUUAAGGCACCAGUCAUUUCGAUGGCGUGGGUUCGAAUCCCCACUGCUGCCA
rfam:Ciona savignyi cont_32245, whole genome shotgun sequence.